rnacentral:lncRNA from 1 species
CAGCAGUGCUGUUUUGAGUGUUUGGUAAAUCCGACAGUGAGAUCUUCUCUGAUUGAGCUGAAAUUUGGCAGAGGUGUUUCUGACUGGUUUAUCUUGGAUUGAUACGGUGAGAUUAGUCUAUGGUUGCCGGAAUCCUUGUGAGCUGAGGUAGUUAGGUUGCUGCUGGUUUUGAAGUUUUGUGUUGCUCUCUUGUUGUUGUUGUUCUUGUGUUGGAGAUAGCUCUUUGUAGCUUGAGUCUCUGUUCUGUUCAGGAUGUUGAACAGGGAGGACGUGGUUGUACUCACAUACAUUUAUAUAGUGGAUUGUUGAGUUGACUACGGUCCCGUGGUUUUUCCUUCUCACAUCGAAGAGGUUUUCCACGUAAAAAGUGCUUAUCUCAUUUAGUUAUUGCUUACACUAUAUCAUGCUAUCGUCAAAGUAUUUUCCUCACAGGUUCACACAAGGUCAGGGGAACACGACCGUUACAUUCCGCUGCGCCUCGUGCCCGCUUUCCCCAACAGAGUGGUAUCAGAGCUUCUGGUUUUAGAGCUUUGGGUUUGAUAACUUCGGGUUAUUGUUGCUUGUGAGAAUGAUGGAAAAUAAGAGCAGAAUGAUAAGCUUGAAUGGUGUUAACUAUCAUCUGUGGAAGGGCAAGAUGGAGGAUCUGCUCUUUGUUAAAGAAUUCCAUGUUCCAGUCUUCGAGGAGAAGAAACCUGAGAAGAAGACGGAUGAAGAGUGGAAGUUGCUGCAUCGCAAAGUGUGUGGGUUGAAAAGGCAGUGGGUAGAUGAUAAUGUGUUGCAUCAUAUUGAGACUGAGACGGAUGCUCGUUCUUUGUGGAAGAAGCUGGAGCACUUGUAUGCUAGGAAGACCGGAAACAACAAGAUGUACAUGAUCAAGAAGUUGAUUGAGCUGAGGUAUCAUGAGGGAACUCCGAUGACGGAUCACUUGAAUGCGUUUCAGGGAUUCCUCAAUAAGCUGUCUGAUAUGGGCAUCAAGUUUGAUGAUGAGAUUCACGGUCUGUGGCUUCUCGGUACUUUACCGGAUUCUUGGGAGAUUUUCAGGAUGUCUCUUUGUAACUCCGCGUCGGAAGGUGUCAUUUCGAUGGAUUCAGUGAAGAACAAUGUUCUUAAUGAGGAAGCAAGAAGACAGUCGAAUGCUAGCAGUUCGCGUUCAGAUGUCUUUGUUACUGGGUCAAGGGGGAGGAGUUCGAGUAAAGAUCCCAAGAGGGACAAGAACAGGAGCAGGAGCAAAUCUAAUAAAUUUGCUAAUAUGGAGUGUUAUUUCUGUCACAAGAAAGGGCACAUGAAGAAGGAUUGCUGGAAGUUGAAAAACAAGCAGCAAGGUAAUCAAGAAGAAAAGGUGGAUCGGGUGACUGUCACCGAAGAUCAGUUUCUCAUUCUUCUUGAGGGUGAUGCCAUUAAUGUCGCAUGCCAAGACACCAGUUGGGUGAUUGAUAGUGGAGCUACUACUCAUGCAACAUCACAGCGGGAUUUGUUUUCUACCUAUACUACAGGUAAUUAUGGUUUCGUGGGAACUGAUGUGAUGUGAUGGCUCAGGUUGCUGGCAUUGGCGAUAUAUGCUUGGAGACUAGUCUUGGGACUAGGUUGGUGCUUAAGGAUGUUAAGCAUGUUCCUGAUAUUAGGAUGAAUCUGAUAUCGACGGGAAGACUUGAUGAUGAGGGUUAUUUCAGUUUGCACGGUGGUGGUAAAUGGAAGCUCUCUCGCGGUUCUUUGAUUGUGGCUCGAGGUGAGAAGUCUUCAUCCUUCUAUUGGAUGCAAGCUAAGGUCUCCAAAGACGCUGUUAAUGCGGUGGAGAAUGAUGGUGUCAUGGAGUUAUGGCAUAAGAGACUCGGUCACAUGAGUGAGAAGGGAAUGUUUGUGUUGUCUAAGAAUGAGGUGAUUCCAAGAAUCUCUGGUUUGCACCUGCAGAAGUGUUCGCAUUGCUUUGCGGGAAAACAACACAGGGUGACUUUCAAGUCUUCUGCGCCUUCUAGGAAACCCGAGGUACUGGAUUUGGUACAUUCAGAUGUGUGUGGUCCAAUGAGGACAAGAUCUCUUGGCGGUGCAUCAUAUUUUGUGACUUUCAUUGAUGAUCAUUCAAGGAAGUUGUGGGUAUUUCCUAUGAGGACGAAGGAUCAGGUGUUGGGAUAUUUCAAGCAUUUUGUGGGGUUGGUUGAGAGACAAACGGGGAAGAAGCUGAAGUGUAUCCGUAGUGAUAAUGGUGGAGAGUAUUCUGGACCAUUUGAUGCUUAUUGCAAAGAGCAUGGAAUAAGGCAUCAGUUCACGCCACCUACACUACAAGAAAAAUUGCUUUUGUUAGCGGCAAAAAAACGCUAUCUAACGAUACGAUAGCGGUUUAUGAAGCGCUAUAUCAUCGCCCGUCAUAAUAGGUCAAACACAUUAGAUAGCGGUAUUUUGUACUGCUAUCGUAUUGUGAUAUAUUAUAGCGUUUUUUAUAUGCAAUUAAAUAUACUUUAAUAGCGUUUCUUUUCUUGUUAUUAUUUGCAUUACAAUUAUUUAUUGUAAUUAAUUAUUUAAAAAUGAAAAAACAUAAUUAAAAUUUAAACUGGAUUAUAUAUUUAAAAUAUUUUUAUUAUUUAAACUGAUUUAUAAUCAAACUGUUUUACAAAAAAUAUAUGGUAUACAAAUUAAAAAAAAAAGAAUCUAGGUAGAAAAAAAUGUCUUAAACCAAAACUAAACGAAAAACUUAAACUAAGCUUAAACAUAACCCUAUUUACUAACUAAACCUAAUAAACCUAACUAAACCAAUCUUCUAAACACCGCCGUCUUCAACAGCUUCGCGCCUCCGCCUCCUCGUGCCUCCGCCAUCUUGUUCUGAACCGCAUCUGCCUCCGCCUCCACCUCUGGUUCAUAACACCUAUGACACAUCUCCGCUAUGUCAAAAUUCUCCUCUGGCGCGCAUCCCUUUCAUCAGUAUUCAAGAUCUGUGAGCAAAAGCAAUAGAUUUUACUAGAAAAUAAAAGAUAAAAAGAUAUGAAAACGAAAGAAGAAACAAACCAAGGAGGAGGAGGCGAGGUCAUGGUAAUGGUGGCUUCCUGACUUGAGCAGAGGUGGUGAGAUUGAACCCGUGACGACAGACGGCGAGUUUGAGAGAUCCUGAGAUGAGGAUUGAAUAGGCGAUGAGAGAGGAGGACUGCAGAGGUGAUGGGAGAAUAUGAAUGAGGGAGGAGGAUUUCUGAUGAGUUAUCAGUGAGCAAGAAGAUUGAAGAGAUUGGUGAGAGAGAUGAGAAGACGAGAGAUCGUGAGAAGAGAUGAAAGAGAUAAUGCCAAAAAAAUAAAAUUAAAGUGAAUCAUUUUUGUCCGUCAGAUUGAGUAUAUCAACGGUGGAGAUCAAAUAUAGUAGCUAUCCUCACCAUCUUGUUUUAACCAAUAAGAAAUUUUUCGCUUUGUUUAAUUAAUUGGCCAUGAAAAAAAAGGAAAAAGAUUAACAAAAGAUUGUGUUAUAACCAUUGGAUUAAAAGUAAUCAAUGGUCAUAGAUUAACUAAUCAAAAACUUUUUUUUUUUAAUAGUUGUCUUGAAAAUUGUAAUUUUAUUAUUUAACUAAUUUUAUUUAUAUAAAUAUUAAAUUAUCAUUUACAUUUAUAAAGUUAAUAUUAAGAACUAUUAAAUUUUACAUUUAAAGUAUAAGAUUUUAGAGUAAAGGUUUGUGUAUAGGGUUUAAAGGUUAGAUUUAAGGUUUGGAAAAGUAAACUUGAAACGAUUAUAUAUUUUGUAAGUAUUAUCAUUUAGUUUUCAUUUUAUUAGAACUUUAAAAUAUUAGAUUUGAAAUUUUUUUAUUUAAAAAUUAGUGUUUAUAUAAGGUUUGGAUAUGGAUAUAUGGUUUAGGGCUUGAAGGUAUAGUAUAGGGUUUAAAGGUUAAAGGUUUUGGGGUAUUGAUUUUAAGAUUUUGAGAUUAAUUUUUGAAAAAAUAUUAAUUUUCUGGGUUUAUAACUAAGAUUUGAAGUUAAAUUUACGAUUUGAUGCUGAAAUAUUAGAGUUUCAAGUUUGUAUUUAGAAUUUAGGGUUUAAAAACUUGUUUAGAGUAGGGAUUCAAAAAGACAAAGAUAGCAUUUUUUAUUAUGUUUUGCUAUUAAACGUAAGUGUUACAUAUAAAACCAUAUGAUUUCAUAGCGUUUUCAUAUAUAUCACUCUAUCAUAGCGUUUCCAAAUAUAUAAGCGCUAUCUAAAACUAACGGGUAUGUCAACCAUAGCACAAUCGGAAAAAACGCCAUGCUGCCGUGCUAUUAAAACACAAAUUUCUUGUAGUGCUAAGACUCCACAGUUGAAUGGGUUGGCUGAAAGGAUGAACAAGACGAUUGUCGAGAGGAUGAGAUGUUUGAUCUCACAGUCAGGCUUAUCGAUGACCUUCUGGGGAGAAGCUUUGAACACGGUGGUUCAUGUGCUGAAUUUGUCACCGAGUUCUCCACUGGAUGGUGAUAUUCCAGAGAGGGUUUGGACUGGUAAGGAUGUUUCUUACAGUCACUUGAGAGUCUUUGGGUGUAAGGCAUUUGUUCAUAUUCCCAAAGAUGAGAGAUCGAAGCUUGAGAUGAAGUCACGGCAGUGUGUGUUCAUCGGUUAUGGUCAGGAUGAAUUCCGGUACAGAUUUUAUGAUCCCGUUGAAAGGAAGCUCGUAAGGAGCAGAUAUGUUGUGUUCAUGGAAUAUCAAACGAUUAUGGACAUUGACAAGUCCAAAAUUCCAGCUCAGGUUUAUGAGAGUUUGAUUGAUUUAGAGGCUACUCCUUCUACAUCGGUCCACGGUGAGGUUGAGGUUGAGGUUCAGGAUGAUACACCCAGUGCAGAUGCUCCCGCACAUGAAAAUGGCAGUGGUGAUCAUGGUGACGAUCAUGGUGAGACACCAGAUGCUGAGAACCAACAUACUGUUGUUAGAAGAUCCAAAAGAGAUCUUAAACCGUCGACAAGGUAUGAUCCUAAUGAGUAUAUUUUACUUAGGGGAGAGCCGAAAAGCUAUGAUGAAGCUUUGGAGGAUGAACACAAGGAUAUGUGGUUUGGAGCCAUGGAUGAGGAGAUGGAUUCUUUUGAGGAGAACCAUACUUUUGAGUUGGUAAAAUUUCCUAAGGGCAAGAAGGCUCUGCUUAAUAAGUGGGUGUACAAAAUUAAGCAUGAGGAUGACAAUUUGCCACCUCGACACAAGGCUAGAUUGGUCGUGAAAGGUUACAGCCAAAAGAAGGGAAUUGAUUAUGAUGAAAUCUUUUCUCCUGUUGUGAAGAUGUCAUCCAUUCGGGUUGUGCUUGGAUUGGCAGCGAGCCUUGAUCUAGAGGUUGAGCAAAUGGACGUGAAGACUGCUUUCCUUCAUGGUAAUAGUUAAAAAAAAACACAGGUCAAAUUAGUUGCUUAGAUUUACUGUUAAAGUAAAAAGAUGCUUGCGACAACAACACCCAUAUUACGAUUUUAAAUAUCGUAUCCUUAGUCAUUUCAUCACUUUUGUAUUUCGAACAAAGUUAGGAUUUUUGGUUUAUAAAUCAGCAACCUUUUGAUAAAGUCGUCCUGAGCACUUUAAAAAAGGUUACCCUAGCACUAUAAACAAUUGUCACCGCUCUGAACUAGUAUUAAUUAUUUAGUAGAUGCUUAUAUGUAUUUUACGUACACUACAAGAGAAAAGACUUUUCUUACGGUCGAGAAUAACGCUAUCUAACGAUACAAUAGCAUUUUAACAAGCGAUGUGUCAUCGUCCGUCAUAAUAGGUCAAACACAUUAGAUAGCGGUAUUUUGUACUGCUAUCGUAUUGUGAUAUAUUAUAGCGUUUUUUAUAUGCAAUUAAAUAUACUUUAAUAGCGUUUCUUUUCUUGUUAUUAUUUGCAUUACAAUUAUUUAUUGUAAUUAAUUAUUUAAAAAUGAAAAAAACAUAAUUAAAAUUUAAACUGGAUUAUAUAUUUAAAAUUUUUUUAUUAUUUAAACUGAUUUAUAAUCAAACUGUUUUACAAAAAAUAUAUGGUAUACAAAUUUAAAAAAAAAGAAUCUAAUUGGAUACGAGAUGUGGUUGCUUCUAAGGAAGUGGAACUUGAGAAAGUUCAUACGGAUGAUAAUGGAGCUGAUACGAUGACAAAGUCUUUACCGAGGGGGAAACUUGAAGUAUGCCGAGGGAUAGCUGGAAUGGCUGUUUCCUCCACCUAGUCGGAGGGGGAGUUUGUUGGGUUCCUUCUAGAUGGAGGAAACCCAUUGGGUUUGGUUGGUGAUAACCAAACUUGGAAGUUGGGCCAUUGGUAUUAGUCCAUGAGAUUAGUAUUGGGCCUUGGAGGACACAUUAGAUAGCGGUAUUUUGUACUGCUAUCGUAUUGUGAUAUAUUAUAGUUUUUUUUAUAUGCAAUUAAAUAUACUUUAAUAGCGUUUCUUUUCUUGUUAUUAUUUGCAUUAAAAUUAUUUAUUGUAAUUAAUUAUUUAAAAAUGAAAAAACAUAAUUAAAAUUUAAACUGGAUUAUAUAUUUAAAAUUUUUUUAUUAUUUAAACUGAUUUAUAAUCAAACUGUUUUACAAAAAAUAUAUGGUAUACAAAUUUAAAAAAAAAGAAUCUAGGUAGAAAAAAAUGUCUUAAACCAAAACUAAACGAAAAACUUAAACUAAGCUUAAACAUAACCCUAUUUACUAACUAAACCUAAUAAACCUAACUAAACCAAUCUUCUAAACACCGCCGUCUUCAACAGCUUCGCGCCUCCGCCUCCUCGUGCCUCCGCCAUCUUGUUCUGAACCGCAUCUGCCUCCGCCAUCUUGUUCUGAACCGCAUCUGUCUCCGCCUCCACCUCUGGUUCGUAACACCUAUGACACAUCUCCGCUAUGUCAAAAUUCUCCUCUGGCACGCAUCCCUUUCAUCAGUAUUCAAGAUCUGUGAGCAAAAGCAAUAGAUUUUACUAGAAAAUAAAAGAUAAAAAGAUAUGAAAACGAAAGAAGAAACAAACCAAGGAGGAGGAGGCGAGGUCAUGGUAAUGGUGGCUUCCUGACUUGAGCAGAGGUGGUGAGAUUGAACCUGUGACGACAGACGGCGAGUUUGAGAGAUCCUGAGAUGAGGAUUGAAUAGGCGAUGAGGGAGGAGGACUGCAGAGGUGAUGGGAGAAUAUGAAUGAGGGAGGAGGAUUUCUGAUGAGUUAUCAGUGAGCAAGAAGAUUGAAAAGAUUGGUGAGAGAGAUGAGAAGACGAGAGAUCGUGAGAAGAGAUGAAAGAGAUAAUGCCAAAAAAAUAAAAUUAAAGUGAAUCAUUUUUGUCCGUCAGAUUGAGUAUAUCAACGGUGGAGAUCAAAUAUAGUAGCUAUCCUCACCAUCUUGUUUUAACCAAUAAGAAAUUUUUCGCUUUGUUUAAUUAAUUGGCCAAUGAAAAAAAAGGAAAAAGAUGAACAAAAGAUUGUGUUAUAACCACUGGAUUAAAAGUAAUCAAUGGUCAUAGAUUAACUAAUCAAAAACUGUUUUUUAUUUAAUAGUUGUCUUGAAAAUUGUAAUUUUAUUAUUUAACUAAUUUUAUUUAUAUAAAUAUUAAAUUAUCAUUUACAUUUAUAAAGUUAAUAUUAAGAACUAUUGAAUUUUACAUUUAAAGUAUAAGAUUUUAGAGUAAAGGUUUGUGUAUAGGGUUUAAAGGUUAGAUUUAAGGUUUGGAAAAGUAAACUUGAAAAUAUUAUAUAUUUUGUAAGUAUUAUCUUUUAGUUUUCAUUUUAUUAGAACUUUAAAAUAUUAGAUUUGGAAUUUUUUAUUUAAAAAUUAGUGUUUAUAUAAGGUUUGGAUAUGGAUAUAUGGUUUAGGGUUUGAAGGUAUAGUAUAGGGUUUAAAGGUUAAAGGUUUUGGGGUAUUGAUUUUAAGAUUUUGAGAUUAAUUUUUGAAAAAAUAUUAAUUUUCUGAGUUUAUAACUAAGAUUUGAAGUUAAAUUUACGAUUUGAUGCUGAAAUAUUAGAGUUUCAAGUUUGUAUUUAGAAUUUAAGGUUUAAAAACUUGUUUAGAGUUUAGGGAUUCAAAAAGACAAAGAUAGCAUUUUUUAUUAUGUUUUGCUAUUAAACGUAAGUGUUACAUAUAAAACCAUACGAUUUCAUAGCAUUUUCAUAUAUAUCACUCUAACAUAGCGUUUCCAAAUAUAUAAGCGCUAUCUAAAACUAACGGGUAUGUCAACCAUAGCACAAUCGGAAAAAACGCCAUGUUGCCGUGCUAUUAAAACACAAAUUUCUUGUAGUGCUAAGACUCCACAGUUGAAUGGGUUGGCUGAAAGGAUGAACAAGACGAUUGUCGAGAGGAUGAGAUGUUUGAUCUCACAGUCAGGCUUAUCGAUGACCUUCUGGGGAGAAGCUUUGAACACGGUGGUUCAUGUGCUGAAUUUGUCACCGAGUUCUCCACUGGAUGGUGAUAUUCCAGAGAGGGUUUGGACUGGUAAGGAUGUUUCUUACAGUCACUUGAGAGUCUUUGGGUGUAAGGCAUUUGUUCAUAUUCCCAAAGAUGAGAGAUCGAAGCUUGAGAUGAAGUCACGGCAGUGUGUGUUCAUCGGUUAUGGUCAGGAUGAAUUCCGGUACAGAUUUUAUGAUCCCGUUGAAAGGAAGCUCGUAAGGAGCAGAUAUGUUGUGUUCAUGGAAUAUCAAACGAUUAUGGACAUUGACAAGUCCAAAAUUCCAGCUCAGGUUUAUGAGAGUUUGAUUGAUUUAGAGGCUACUCCUUCUACAUCGGUCCACGGUGAGGUUGAGGUUGAGGUUCAGGAUGAUACACCCAGUGCAGAUGCUCCCGCACAUGAAAAUGGCAGUGGUGAUCAUGGUGACGAUCAUGGUGAGACACCAGAUGCUGAGAACCAACAUACUGUUGUUAGAAGAUCCAAAAGAGAUCUUAAACCGUCGACAAGGUAUGAUCCUAAUGAGUAUAUUUUACUUAGGGGAGAGCCGAAAAGCUAUGAUGAAGCUUUGGAGGAUGAACACAAGGAUAUGUGGUUUGGAGCCAUGGAUGAGGAGAUGGAUUCUUUUGAGGAGAACCAUACUUUUGAGUUGGUAAAAUUUCCUAAGGGCAAGAAGGCUCUGCUUAAUAAGUGGGUGUACAAAAUUAAGCAUGAGGAUGACAAUUUGCCACCUCGACACAAGGCUAGAUUGGUCGUGAAAGGUUACAGCCAAAAGAAGGGAAUUGAUUAUGAUGAAAUCUUUUCUCCUGUUGUGAAGAUGUCAUCCAUUCGGGUUGUGCUUGGAUUGGCAGCGAGCCUUGAUCUAGAGGUUGAGCAAAUGGAUGUGAAGACUGUUUUCCUUCAUGGUGAUUUGGAGGAAGAGAUCUACAUGGAACAACCGGAAGGCUAUGUGAAAAAGGGAAAUGAAAAUUUGGUUUGCCGCUUGAAGAAAAGUCUUUAUGGAUUGAAGCAAGCACCAAGGCAGUGGUACAUGAAGUUCAAGUCUGUUAUGGGGGAGCAUGGUUAUGCAGAGACUGAUUCAGACCAUUGUGUAUUUGUGAAGGUGUUCGGUGAGGAUGAUUUUAUCAUCUUGUUGCUGUAUGUCGAUGAUAUGUUGAUAGUGGGCAGGAACAUGGACAGAAUUAAGGAGCUGAAAUAGCAGCUCAGUGAGUCCUUUGCCAUGAAAGAUAUGGGUCCAGCGAAACAGAUUCUCGGUAUGAGAAUUGUUCGAGACAGAGGUGAGAAGCUGAUUCACUUGUCUCAGGAGAAGUACAUUGAAAAAGUACUUAAGCGGUUUCACAUUGACAAGUCUAAAGUGUUGAGUACUCCUCUUACUCCACACUUAAGACUGAGCAGUCCACAAAGUCCGAAGACAUAUGCGGAGAAAGAAGAUAUGGCGAAGGUUCCAUAUGCUUCGGCAGUGGGUAGUUUGAUGUAUGACAUGGUCUGUACAAGACCGGAUUUAGCUUACGCCGUUGGAGUUGUCAGCAGGUUUAUCUCCAAUCCAGGAAGAGAACAUUGGAAUGCUGUGAAGUGGAUUUUGAGAUACCUCAGAGGGACUUCUGAUCUGAAGAUUACAUUUGGGGGUAAGAAGCCUUUACUGGUCAGUUUCACUGAUUCUGACAUGUCUGGAGAUGUUGAUUCUAGCAAGUCUAUUUCGGGUUACUUGGCAACAUUUGCGGGUGGAGCUGUGGCAUGGCAGCGAAGGCUGCAAAAGUGCGUUGCACUAUCUACCACUGAGGCAGAGUUCAUUGCUGCAACUGAAGCUUGUAAAGAGUUGUUGUGGAUGAAGAACUUCUGUGAAGAGAUUAGUUUCAAGCAAGAAAAGUAUGUGUUGCUUUGUGAUAGUCAAAGCGCCAUCUGUCUCGGGAAGAACUCUACAUUCCAUUCGAAAUCAAAACACAUUCAGAGGAGGUAUCAUUGGAUACGAGAUGUGGUUGCUUCUAAGGAAGUGGAACUUGAGAAAGUUCAUACGGAUGAUAAUGGAGCUGAUAUGAUGACAAAGUCUUUACCGAGGGGGAAACUUGAAGUAUGCCGAGGGAUAGCUGGAAUGGCUGUUUCCUCCACCUAGUCGGAGGGGGAGUUUGUUGGGUUCCUUCUAGAUGGAGGAAAUCCAUUGGGUUUGGUCGGUGAUAACCAAACUUGGAAGUUGGGUCAUUGGUAUUAGUCCAUGAGAUUAGUAUUGGGCCUUGGAGGUUAUUAGGGUUAGUGAGACACAUAUAUAUAGUCUCUUGACCUAAUUUUUAUGGUGAGACUUACAAGAAUCAAAAAGACAAAAGAGAGAAAAGAGGGAAGGAGGUAGAAUUUCGUCUGGGUUUUUCAAGGCAGAUUUGGAGGGUCAAACGGAUCCUGGUCGGGCUAAUAUUUUGUGGGAAACUUCUUCAGUCAAUGGGUUAAAGGUUCACCGUAGGGAUUUGGAUUUCAACGGUUGGAUCUUCUGUUGUCUGGGUUUUACUGAAGCUGGUCGUCACAGUUCUUCAGCAGUUCUGUCUUGAGUGUUUGGUAAAUCCGACGGUGAGAUCUUCUUUGCUUGAGCUGAAAUUUGGCAGAGGUGUUGCUGACUGGUUUAUCUUGGAUUUGUACGGUGGGAUUAGUUUCUGGUUGCCGGAAUCCUUGUGAGCUGAGGUCGUUUGGUUGCUGCUGGUUUUGAAGCUUUGUGUUGCUCUCUUGUUGUUGUUGUUCUUGUGUUGGAGAUAUCUCUUUGUAGCUUGAGUCUCUGUUCUGUUCAGGGUGAUGAACAGGGAGGACGUGGUUGUACUCACAUACAUUUAUAUAGUGGAU